GGAGGCUGGCCGCGGACGGGGCGCUCGCCAACCCGGUCAGGUCCGGAAGGAAGCAGCCGUAACGAUGCGGCCCCGGGUCGCGGAUCCAGUCUCCCAC
rnacentral:SRP_RNA from 1 species